UCUGCUUAGAUAUAACCAAGUUAUAUUGUCUUUAACUCACAUACUUAAUUUUUUCUAAAUUGAAUUUGCGAGAACGGGUGAUGCACAGAAUAUCUAGCAUUUAGGCCUCCUUUUACGAUUCCGAUUCAGAAAUGGGAACUGCUUUGGAGGAUGGAUACAUACCUGACAGAAUAUACGUGCAUCAGUUAAACUUAACAUCAGCGGAUAUUGUUCGCCGACAAAAAGAGAAGGAGAUGGUAGAGGAAGAAAAAAUAAAAGUUAUGGAAAAGAAAGAGAUAAAGAAAAGACAAAAAGAAGAAGAAAGGAAAAGAGUAGGAAAAUACAAAUGCAUGAUCCAUUUCUUUGGCUAUUUUUUUUUCUUCUUUUUAAGUGUAUGAAAUGAAAGCCUCUUUGAAUGUAUUUCUAUAGUAAAAAAAUUCUUUAUAUUCUAU